GAUGAAGACGUAGCGAAAUGCGAUACUUGGUGUGAAUUGCAGAAUCCCGUGAACCAUCGAGUCUUUGAACGCAAGUUGCGCCUCAAGCCAUUAGGUUGAGGGCACGUCUGCCUGGGCGUCACAUAUCGUUGCCUGAUGCCAGUUUCCUCGUGAUGGGUGACUGUGCAGGGCGAAUGAUGGCUUCCCGUGAGCAUUGUUGCCUCAUGGUUGGUUGAAAAUUGAGUCCUUGGUAGGGAGCGCCGUGAUAGAUGGUGGUUGAGUGACGAACGAGACCCAAUCAUGUGAGACCCCUACCGAAUUUGGCCUUCAUGACCCACAUGCGUCUUUGGAACGCUCAUGACGAGACCUCAGGUCAGGCGGGGCUACCCGCUGAGUUCAAGCAUAUCAAUAAGCGGAGGA
rnacentral:misc_RNA from 1 species